UGUCACGCCAGUUGCAAGUCAUCAGCGUGCAGUGUCUGAGCAUGUUCAAUCGGCUCAAGUUCUGUGAAAAUUGAUUAAAAAAGUAGUUUUCAAAGUGAUUUGGUAAAGGACAUUUAUAAGGAAGUGAGUGUGCUUUGAAGUAAUGUAUUUUUAUCGUAAUUAAGGUGAAAAAUCUCGUGUUUGUGUGGUUUAUCGGCGGAAGGACCUCCUGCUACAAUCGCCUUAAGGACAACUAAAUAGUCAAACGAUUUGGCCCAGGUUCUGCAAGGAUUUCCUGCAAAAUCCGGGAAUAUCAGUGGUGUUGGUGCUGGUGGUGCAGGUGGUGGAGUUGGUGCUAUAAGUAGCUCUCAUUUGAGCCUCAGUAGCAGCCCGUGAAACAAGUGAUGCCUCAAAUUCGGACAUUCUCAUCCUCCUAUUUGUUAGAAAACGACCUUGAAAAAGACGAGCCGCUUCACAUAUAUGAUGCACACAAUAUCGCAAAAAGCGUUCCUAAUAAAUUGCGUAUACAAUUUUAAAUGGAUUUAAAAUUAUGGAAAAAGAUUUUCCAUGACUAUCCCGUAAACCAUGUGUGACAUUGCAGUUAAUAGUAUUCUGAAAAACUGCAAUUUCAUACUGCUUCUCUAUGGACUGCUUCGACCGGAUCAGUAUAAGGAGAACGCCAAGGUAUACAAAUCUACUUUCAAAGAUACUCAGAAAAUCAUCGCAAUCGUCGUGGACAAUGUUUCAAAUGGAUUGUGAAAACUGCUCUAUCUUGGAGUUCGAGCAAUUAAAAUAAAGGACUGUGCUUAAAUCAAAAUAUCCAGAAGAGUACAGCAAGGUAUGGAGUUUUAUACAAUCAUUUUUUUCGAUAUGGACGGCAAUAGCUCAAUUCACAGUAAAGCAUUUUGCAAAAGACUGAUGUAACGUAGUUAUAUACGGGCUUCAAACCUUAGACUUAGCCAUAUGGCUUAAUUUAUCUAGUUUCUUAUCAAUCAAGAUAUUUUUGGGAAAUAUUGACUAGGACUAAUUAAGACCUUCACAAAGAGAGCAGAAUAUAUCGCUCCUUGUAAAUUAAAGGGGCCAACUCAUUUUGAGCCAUUUUUCAGGAGACAGUAUGCAAGAUUCAACUUUGUGUAAAUAAUUAUCUCAAUUCAAUGACUGAACGAAAACAACUUAAGCAUUUUUUUCUAUUUGUUUGUGCAUUAAUAUAAA